GACGUAGGGGGCCAGCGUUGUUCGGAAUUACUGGGUGUAAAGGGUUCGUAGGCGGUGCGGCAAGUUCGGGAGUGAAAUCUGCUAGGGCUUGAACCCCAGACGGCUGCUUCCGAAACUGCUGUGCUUGAGUGUGGGAGAGGCGCGUGGAAUUGCAGGUGUAGCGGUGAAAUGCGUAGAUAUCUGCAGGAACACCCGUGGCGAAAGCGGCGCGCUGGACCACUACUGACGCUGAGUGAACGAAAGCUAGGGGAGCAAACAGG
rnacentral:rRNA from 1 species